AACGGAGGGUGCUAGCGUUGUUCGGAAUUACUGGGCGUAAAGGGCGCGUAGGCGGCCUGGUCAGUCGGGUGUGAAAGCCCGGGGCUCAACCCCGGAACGGCACCCGAGACGGCCAGGCUGGAGACCGGGAGAGGAGGGUGGAAUAGCCAGUGUAGAGGUGAAAUUCGUAGAUAUUGGCUGGAACACCGGUGGCGAAAGCGGCUCUCUGGCCCGGUUCUGACGCUGAGGCGCGAAAGCGUGGGGAGCAAACAGG
rnacentral:rRNA from 1 species